UCAGGAUGAACGCUAGCGGCAGGCUAACACAUGCAAGUCGAGGGGCGAGCGCGAGUAGCAAUACUUGGCGGCGACCGGCGCAAGGGUGCGUAACGCGUGAGCAACAUGCCCGUAUCAGGGGGAUAAUCCAGGGAAACUUGGUCUAAUACCCCAUAGUAAUUUUGUAAGGCAUCUUAUAAGAUUUAAAGCUUUGGUGGAUACGGAUUGGCUCGCGUGACAUUAGCUGGAUGGUAAGGUAACGGCUUACCAUGGCUAUGAUGUCUAGGGGUUCUGAGAGGAAGGUCCCCCACACUGGAACUGAGACACGGUCCAGACUCCUACGGGAGGCAGCAGUGAGGAAUAUUGGACAAUGGAUGGAAAUCUGAUCCAGCCAUGCCGCGUGAAAAGGAAGAAGGUCCUAUGGAUUGUAAACUUCUUUUGUAUGGGAGCAAUAAGGCCUACGAGUAGGUUGAUGAGAGUACCAUACGAAUAAGCACCGGCUAACUCCGUGCCAGCCGCCGC
rnacentral:rRNA from 1 species